rnacentral:rRNA from 1 species
GAUGAACGCUGGCGGCGUGCCUAAUACAUGCAAGUCGAGCGAACAGAUGAGGAGCUUGCUCUUCUGACGUUAGCGGCGGACGGGUGAGUAACACGUGGAUAACCUACUUAUAUGACUGGGAUAACUUCGGGAAACCGGAGCUACUACUGGAUCAUAUAUUGAACCGCAUGGUUCAAUAGUGAAAGACGGUUUUGCUGUCACUUAUAGACGGAUCCGCGCCGCAUUAGCUAGUUGGUAAGGUAACGGCUUACCAAGGGAACGAUGCGUAGCCGACCUGAGAGGGGGAUCGGCCACACUGGAACUGGGACACGUUCCAGACUCCAACGGAGGCAGCAGUAGGGAAUCUUCCGCAAUGGGCGAAAGCCUGACGGAGCAACACCGCGUGAGUGAUGAAGGUCUUCGGGUCGUAAAGCUCUGUUAUUAGGGAAGAACAAAUGUGUAAGUAACUAUGCACGUCUUGACGGUACCUAAACAGAAAGUCACGGCUAACUACGUG